AAGUCGAACGAUGAGGCCCCUACGGGGGUACAUCAGUGGCAGACGGGUGAGUAACACGUAGGUAACCUGCCCUCGAGACGGGGAUAACGGCUGGAAACGGUCGCUAAGACCCGAUAUAGUCUGACCUUCGGGAGAAGGUGAGAGGAAAGGCUUCGGUGCUCGGGGAGGGGCCUGCGGCCCAUCAGCUAGUUGGAGAGGUAACGGCUCCCCAAGGCAAUGACGGGUAGGGGGUGUGAGAGCAUGGCCCCCCACACUGGGACUGAGACACGGCCCAGACUCCUACGGGAGGCAGCAGCAGGGAAUAUUGCGCAAUGGUCGGAAGUCUGACGCAGCGACGCCGCGUGGAUGAUGAAGGCCUUCGGGUUGUAAAAUCCUUUUCCGGGCGAUGAGGAAGGACACUAGCCUGGGAAUAAGCGUCGGCUAACUACGUGCCAGCAGCCGCGGUAAGACGUAGGACGCGAGCGUUAUCCGGAUUUACUGGGCGUAAAGCGCCUGCAGGCGGUCAGGUAAGUCGGUUGUGAAAGCCCCGUGCUCAACGCGGGGAGGCCAAGCGAUACUGCGUGACUUGAGGGCGGAAGAGGGGAGUGGAAUUCCCGGUGUAGCGGUAAAAUGCGCAGAUAUCGGGAGGAACACCAGUGGCGAACGCGGCUCCCUGGACCGCACCUGACGCUCAGAGGCGAAAGCUAGGGGAGCGAACAGGAUUAGAGACCCUGGUAGUCCUAGCCCUAAACGCUGGAUGCUAAGGUGUAGGGCUGAUGAGGCUCUUGUGCCUGUAGCGCACUCGAUAAGCAUUCCGCCUGGGUUUUCUGCCGCAUGGUUAAAAGUCAAACGAAUUGACGGGGACCCGCACAAGCAGCGGAGCGUGUGGUUUAAUUCGAUGCUACACGAAGAACCUUACCUGGGUUUGACAUGCUGGUGGUACCGAACCGAAAGGGGAGGGACCCUUCGGGGAGCCAACACAGGUGCUGCAUGGCUGUCGUCAGCUCGUGCCGUGAGGUGUCGGGUUAAGUCCCGUAACGAGCGCAACCCUUGCUCUUAGUUAUACGUGUCUAAGGGGACUGCCGGCGACAAGCCGGAGGAAGGUGGGGAUGACGUCAAGUCAGCAUGGCCUUGAUAUCCAGGGCUACACACACGCUACAAUGGCCGGUACAAAGGGCAGCCAAGCCGCGAGGUGGAGCGAAUCCCAGCAAAGCCGGUCCCAGUUCGGAUUGCAGGCUGCAACCCGCCUGCAUGAAGUUGGAGUUGCUAGUAACCGCGCGUCAGCCAUAGUGCGGUGAAUACGUACCCGGGUCUUGUACACACCGCCCGUCACGUCAUGGGAGUUGGCAACGCCUGACAGCGGUAGCCUAACCGAAAGGAAGGCGC
rnacentral:rRNA from 1 species